rnacentral:rRNA from 1 species
GACGAACCACACGAACGUUAUUCGGAAUUACUGGGCUUAAAGGGUGCGUAGGCUGUGCGGAAAGUUAGGUGUGAAAUCCCCCGGCUCAACCGGGGAAUUGCGCUUAAAACUACCGUGCUAGAGGAAUACAGAGGUGAGCGGAACUUCGGGUGGAGCGGUGAGAUGCGUUGAUAUCCGAAGGAACACCGGUGGCGAAAGCGGCUCACUGGGUAUUUUCUGACGCUGAGGCACGAAAGCUAGGGUAGCGAACGGG